UUGCACAUGGGCGCAGUCCUGAUGCAGCCAUGCCGCGUGAAUGAAGAAGGCCUUCGGGUUGUAAAGUACUUUCGGCGAGGAGGAAGGCAUUAGGGUUAAUAACCUUAGUGAUUGACGUUACUCGCAGAA
rnacentral:rRNA from 1 species